CAUUAACCAAUUAGAAUAAAAUAAUCUUUACUCUCUUUGCCUUGAUUGGUCAACCAAACGCUUCGAAGCAUCUGUAGCAUUUUCUCGACUGCAGCCUCAGAGAAUUCUGAUAUCAUUAUUCAAUAUGGCUGCAGUGAGAGAGCAGAAUCAGAAGCCUUAUUUCCGCUUGUGCAGGCCAAAAACGAAAAAGAAGAAGACUAGUUGCAAGUAUUGUAAGAAUCCUUUUGUCAGCAAUGAGUCGUUCAUAAUUUUUAUAAUUUUCGAUAAUUAAAUGCAUUGUUAAUAGUAAAAUGUGUUCACAAUACUUUACAAAAUUUGAAAACAUCUCGUUAAUUGCGUUCUAUAACUAAUUGCUAAUAAGAAAUUGCAUACAUUGCGUUCUAUGCUAAUGGCAUUGGUAUCAUUUUUUCUAUUAUUUCAGAAAGUUCUUUAUUUAUCGCUUUUUGCAACUCUUGUCACAAUCACAAUCUUAUCAAUCACUUAUCAUUAACAUAUCAUCAAAUACAAGUCACAUAUUAUCAAGUCCUUAAAUAUGGAAGAAUUUAAAGGCAAAUCAGAAAAUAGUACCGUCUAUUUUUAUGAAGGAUAUGCUUAUAACAUUGAUAAACGUCUACUCGACGUAUCACUGGAUGCCGUGGAUUGGCAAAAGUCGGUGAAGAUGGUAAAGUUACCAUUAAUCCUUUCCAUAAUCAUGCACCUGAUAAUGCAAGAAUACAGAAAUAUGUGUUAAAACAAGAGAUGUUACGCUUAUCUCGUGAAACAUUACAAGCACCUAAAGAUAUACUUGAUGAUGUUUCUCGAAGAAAUCCUGAAUCAGCUGCAUUUAUAGCUUUCAAAUCAAUUAGAAGUCAACUGAAUAGAGAACGAAAAAAGAGCAGACCAAAAUUACCACAAUCUAUAGCUAUGCUUGCUGACGAUUUAAAUAAUUAUAUACCAAUAACUCAUAUAUAUAAAGGAAGUUUAACUGCAAAAGAUGGAAAAAAGGCAUUACUCUUCUCCAAUGAUAAACUGCUCCAGGCACUUGAAUCAUCUACUGAAUUUUUUGUGACGGUACAUUUUCUGUUGUUCCUCGAGUUUCUUCCCUUAGUCAACUUUACACAAUUCAUAUACGUUACAUAGACAAGGUUCUCGCAGUGAUAUUUGUUUUAUGCGAAGCUCGUACCACAGCUCUUUAUGAAAAAAUUUGGUCGAAAGUGAUAGAAUUUGUGCCUAAUCUGCUAAUGAACAUAAAAUUUAUCAUGACAGAUUAUGAAUGUGCAGCGAUGAGUGCAAUGGAGAAAUAUUUUCCAAAUGCUACUAUACAUGGAUGCUGGUUUCAUCUAAAUCAGGCUUUAUAAAGAAAAUGGAAUCAUUUAGGUUUACGUAAUUCUUCGAACAUCAUAUUGUCGAUGGCAAUGACAAUACCAUUGCUGCCAGAACAAUAUUUUACUCAAGCUUAUUGUAUAUUAUGGAAUACUUGUGAAGAAAAAAAUCCUGAAUAUGAGAAGUUAAAGGAAUUUUUGAAUUAUUUUGAAAAAACGUGGUUAUCCAAAGCUU